rnacentral:rRNA from 1 species
UUCCGGUUGAUCCUGCCGGACCCGACUGCUAUCAGAGUGGGACUAAGCCAUGCGAGUCGACGUAGCAAUGCGUGGCGAACGGCUCAGUAACACGUAGUCAACAUGCCCAGGGGACGUGGAUAACCUCGGGAAACUGAGAAUAAACCACGAUAGGUCACGAUUUCUGGAAUGGAUCAUGGCCCAAAUCUACAUGGCCCCUGGAUUGGACUGCGGCCGAUCAGGCUGUUGGUGAGGUAAUGGCCCACCAAACCUAUAACCGGUACGGGCUCUGAGAGGAGAAGCCCGGAGAUGGGCACUGAGACAAGGGCCCAGGCCCUAUGGGGCGCAGCAGGCGCGAAACCUCUGCAAUAGGCGAAAGCCUGACAGGGUUACUCUGAGUGAUUUCCGCUAAGGGGAUCUUUUGGCACCUCUAAAAAUGGUGCAGAAUAAGGGGUGGGCAAGUCUGGUGUCAGCCGCCGCGGUAAUACCAGCACCCCGAGUGGUCGGGACGAUUAUUGGGCCUAAAGCAUCCGUAGCCGGUUCUGCAAGUCUUCCGUUAAAUCCAGCCGCUCAACGGAUGGGCCGCGGAGGAUACUACAGGACUAGGAGGCGGGAGAGGCAAGCGGUACUCAGUGGGCAGGGGUAAAAUCCUUUGAUCCAUUGAAGACCACCAGUGGCGAAGGCGGCUUGCCAGAACGCGCUCGACGGUGAGGGAUGAAAGCUGGGGGAGCAAACCGGAUUAGAUACCCGGGUAGUCCCAG